UGCCCGCGUCCAUGGAGACCGAUAAACUUUACCUCUAUUCAGUGGGACUAAAUAGGCACCCAUUGUAAACUUUAUCGCGUGGAUCGAAUCGAUUGAGGAAGAAUAUCGGCGACUACUGAGAGUGGACAGAAAUACCUAUGGAAGCGUCGACAAGGCCAAGACAGAAGCGAGAUAAUUGAUUAAUUACUUUUGAACCGGUGUGCACCGUUGCGUGGUGGUUGUCGGCGACGCCGUUUUUCAAGUGUUACCGCACAAAACCAACGCGACACCAUGCGCGAAAAGGUAUAUGGAUGGUAUCCGGCUGCUUACAACACAUACGACAACCCCUUAGCUAAGCAAUUUCCAAGAGGGAAAUUAAAAUACGAAAAAGAGGUGUUGUACCGCCACUGGAGAAGUCAGGCCAACCAUGGCACCAGAGGUGUUACACCCCCACAGCCUCCCACGCCUAUCCGCAUUAAACACGAGGCCAUGUUGCAACGCCCGGCGUCCCACGUCUCAUCUACGCCAAGAACCCCCGUGUCUAACCAGGCCAUUGUAGAACACUACCUUCGCAUUCAAGGCGG